CCAAUCAAAGAAAACCCAAUCUCAUUCUUAUAAUUUCUCUAUAUACUCAUCAAUUUCAGGGAAUUUGAAGAGAUAUAAUAACGAUGAAGGUGAUUGAAAUUCGUUGGUUAUCGUUUCUGGCAAACAUGGAGCUGCUCUAGCAGUUCAAGAUCCUAAAUAGAAAAUUUUUGAAGGGGUUAAUGCCACGAUGUGGAUAACAGCAGCAAUAUAAACAACCUGCCACAAGCAAUUUAUUCACGGAUGUUGAAAGUCCUAAUUGUAGCAAAAACCCAGGUCUUGUUGGUGUUUGAGAGAAUAUAUUGCAAAUGAA